UAUGGCAGUUGUGCCAACAUAUCUCAUCAGCCACCUGGUGGAAGGGACUUUGUGGAUCUGAGGCUCUUUUCCCUGUUGCCUCCAUCAUCCUCCAAAUCCUACCAACAUUAGCCGCCUCCGAGUGUAACUGGUCCUUGUCUGGGAACAUACACACCAAAGCACGCAACAGGCUGACCAAUACAAGAGUUGAAAAAUUGGUGGCCAUCCUGGCAAAUUUGAGACUUUUUGAGCCUGACAAUGGCUCAAUGAGCCAUCCUCAACAAGUUUGAGCUGUGCAUCAUUUUCUAAUCCCAGGUAGAAACGGUGCCUGUAAAUCCCUGUGUUACAAUGUCUUACUUUCUAUGCAUGGACUUUCAAUGGUUCAUUUUAAGUCAAACUACAAAUAUGGGACAUUGACUGGAAAACUGUCUGUCAGCCACAAAGUCCUUUUUAAACUACUCGUGACUGAUCAGGAAAACACAAGUCAGAAAAUUUAACAUAGACAUACUCAAGGUAAUACAUCUUGGUGACUCAUGAGGGCUGUGACUUUGCCAGGUUUUGAUCACUGAAAGCCAUGCUCAGUUUCUAGAGAUAAAGCAUACGAUUCCCCAGCCUGAAUAGGUAUGAAUCCCCUUAGACCCGUCUCUUGGAUUUUCGCACUAAGUUGUAAAAUGUUGACUCAUUGUGAUGUCUUUCCCUGUCCAGUGGUUUUACCACAUUGCGGCCUGCCUGGCUGAGUUCCUGGAGCUGAAGGGUCAGACGCUACCUCUGGGCUGUACCUUCUCCUUCGAGCAGAAAGACAUCGACAAGAGUAUCCUGAUCCGUUGGACCAAAGGCUUUCUUUAACUGUUUAGGAGUGGAUGUGGUCAGGCUACUGAGAGAAGCCAUCCACAGCAGAGAGUUGCAAUGGUGAAUGACACUGUGAGGACCAUGAUGAGCUGUGGAUACAGGGACCAGAGCUGUGAGAUUGACAUGAUCAUUGCUUCAGUAAGCAGCUCCAGGAGACCGUAAGAAUCCUGGUCCCUAAGUGUAACAUCACUUUCCUCGUCACGGAGCAUGGCAGCGGAAAAGGGCACUGCCAUGGUAACGGCGGUGGCACAAGCUGGCCAUGUAGCCCCGACUGUUAGAGGACAGCAGAGGAGGAUGAGGAAGAUGGAAAUUAAUGUUAGGCCAGAGGAGGCACACUGGAAAGACUACUUGAAAUGCAGCACCAUAAAAAUGUCCCCCUCAAAUGCUUUUGUUGUACGGUACAUGCUAAACAGCUCACUCACUUUCUCUUACUGUGUGGAAAGUGAUGAAUGAACUUUUUUACCGUAGGCUACCGUUAAAAAUAAAUGUUUUAUUGUACAUGGUUAA